UGAACAUUCGAUUAAGACAGAUGUGCUAAUCGGUGUUCUUUUGUUAAAAAAAUAUACAAAAGAUCCUACGGGGAUUGUGCAAUAGAAAAAACAGUUUUAGUUGUUGCAAGACAGUGACACUGAGUUAUUUUGCAAAUCAUACAACAAAAUAAUAAUGGUUACGUGAAUUGGGCUCAUCCAACGACUCAACACUGACCCAACAAAAGAAAAAAAAAACCAUGGUGUCAAGAAAACUAAAAAAGAGUACUUUGUAUGACGAAGUAAACAAAAUUCUGAAACGGAAUGUUAAAAAUUUUGAUAAAGAGUUCAACACAAGGAAUUAUGACAGGGUAUUUGAAAGCAAUUCGCGAAUAAAAUCAAACCUAAAUAUAGUAAGAAACAAAGGAUCAGGACUAGACGCGAACAAAGAAAAUGAAAGGAACGAGGGUUUCCUUAACCCAAAAAAAACAGGAUUACCGAAACUCUCAGUCGGUAUGCAAGGCCCACGCUUUGAGUCUGAUAAUAAAUUCGAGGCGCUAUCGGAUGAUAUGAGUUUCACGGAAGAGGGCGAAGUUGAAAAGACUAACAGCGCCAUAACGAAAAACUAUAAGCAGAGAACCCCCAAAAUCUGAAUGCCCCCCAUAUACAUUUUAAAAGCUAACCUAAUGGACAUAAUUUUACUACUAACUAAUAGCAAUAUUAACAAGGAAGUUUUCUCAUUAAAACUAAUAGAUAUAGAUAUGAUGAGACUAAUAACCAUACACACGACAAGUGCGUAGCUACACUAAAAAUCAAAAAUCAAAAAUUUCACAUAUUUACACCAAAGCAUACUAAAUGCAAGAUCUUCAUAUUAAAAGGUAUAAGAGGUGGUUUUGAUGUUCCCGAUGUUUUAACAGCGCUUAACGCGCUCAUCAUGAGAAACAUCAGAAUAAUUAAAACCAGCAAACUAUUGUUUGACAAACAAAACUUAGAUAAAUACCACUUCAUAAUUCAAGUCGAUUGCAACAGCGACCCACAAGAAUUAUUCAAAAAUAAAAUACUCCUCAACCAAAGAGUAAGAUGGGAGAAGCUUAAACGACCCAAAAUAUUCCCGUGCAAAAACUGCCAAAGAGUGGGGCAUGCCAGCUCUAAUUGCAAUAUGGGGUACAGAUGCGUAAAAUGUGCACAACCCCACGAACCGGGAAAGUGCAAUUUAAUCUAUUCAGUAGAAAAAGAGAACCUGAAAUGCGCAAAUUGUGGUCAAAACGGACAUCCAGCAUCGUACCUAGGAUAUCCAUAUAUGAAAAUGAUAGCUGACCUGAAGAAGAAAGAAAAAGAAAAAAAAA